rnacentral:rRNA from 1 species
UACGGGGGGGGCUAGCGUUGUUCGGAAUUACUGGGCGUAAAGGGCGCGUAGGCGGCCUACUAAGUCGGACGUGAAAUCCCUCGGCUCAACCGGGGAACUGCGUCCGAUACUGGUGGGCUCGAAUCCGGGAGAGGGAUGUGGAAUUCCUGGUGUAGCGGUGAAAUGCGCAGAUAUCAGGAGGAACACCAAUGGCGAAGGCAGCUCGCUGGGACGUGACUGACGCUGAGACGCGAAAGCGUGGGGAGCAAACAGG